rnacentral:lncRNA from 1 species
CAGAACUUGGUGCGGCCGUCAACAAGGCCGAACACAACACCCGCAACCAGCGCGCCAGCCUUGCCGACGGCAGCCGAGAAGCCGUGGCACAUGGAGCGAAGCUCGGUGGGCGCCAGCUCGGCGGGCAGCAGCCAGGUGGUGGCGUUGGGGCCGAACUGGCCCCAGAAACUGGAGAAGUAGUACAGGAACUGGAACGUGUGGAUGUACUUGGGAGUACGCAGCUGGUCGUAGUGCACGGCGCAGAUGAGGAACAGAACAAACUGCAAGGGCAAAGAGGCGCGCGGUCACACACGCUUCAAGAAUGUGUGAAUUGAAGAUGCUGGUCAGCAUGCAUCCCGAAACUGGGCCUGAGUCUGGGGAGCGCUGGGGUCCACUGCCAGCCAGGUCCAGACAUGCAAGGCCCACACGGGGACCGGGCCUGCUGAACUGCCAUGUUUGUCGGUUUAUGGCGACCUGAGCAGCAGGUGACGCGACUCACCAUCCAUGCGAAGCCCAUGACCUGCAUGCGCAUGCGGCCCAUCCACGGCUUGUCCACCGUGAAAGCGGCAAAGUAGUAGCCAACCAGAGCCACAGAGCUGUUCAGCAGAGUCCACUCCAGGACUUGGAUUAGCGAGGCGCUGGGGUUGAUGAUCUUGAUGAAGGUGCCCUGGAACAGCUUGUUACCCUGUGGGGAUCAUGAUAGCGAACGAGGUAAGGCACGUCAACUUUGUGGGCUUGCCGACCAUCCUGUAGAGCACAGCUGGUGAUCUGAUCCCAGGUGCACCGCAAGCACGCGGGCCCGAGCCCCCAUCCGCCGCACGACUCACGUAGAAGGCGAAGUCCCACACGAACCAGCUCAUGGCGGUGCCAAAGUUGCGGUGCCAGUAGUAGUACAUCAGCAGACCGAACUUGCGCCAUUGCACGCCCUUGGCCUCCGAACCUGGCCGGAAGGGAACAAACGAGGAUUGAGCGAGUGAGUUGUAGUGUCUCCACGUAUGGACUGCAUGAGCCAAAACCCACUCUCUCGAAGCGGGACAAACCUCUUAUACGGUACCCACUACCGCCUCACUUACCGCCCAUGGCCUGAAGGGCCUCACGCUUCUUGGUCCACACAGCCGACUCGCGAAGGCGGAAGGUACGGUAGAGCAGGAUGCCAAUCAGGGGGAUGAGGCCAAUGGCGUACGACAGACGCCACGUCACCUCCAGGGCGUGGUUGCUGUACGGCGCGCCGUACUGGUGGUAGCCAGCCAUGAUGGCUGUAGGUUUGGGUAAGAGCAAGCAAGAAGCAUUGUGUGAGUAGGGAGACGGUGGAGUGCUGGGGUAAAAGCAGGACUGAUCCUACAAAGCACGCGAUGGCCAGCCCGCGUGUGCUGCAGAGGGUUUCGGUGUUGGAACGACUCUGCGCUCACCAAUGAUGACGGCGGUGUUGACCAGGUUGCCCCAGCCCUGCAUGGAGAACACCAGCACGACGGUCUCGCCGCGGCGCUUCUGCAGAGCGGCGCUGCUCUCGGCGCGCUCGUUGGCGGAGGUCGAGGCGACCGGGUACUCGCCGCCCACACCGAUGCCGAAGAUGAACUGGACGGCCGUGAACUGUGAGGAGGGACAGCGCAGGGCCAGUGAUGGGUAGGAUAUGGUACCCAGGACAGCAGCUGACCACACAGCUAAAGAGAUUAUGCCAUUGAUGGUAGGGCCAUCAGCCAGGCGACAUCAGCGGUGCCAGACACUUACCAUGGCCCACAGGGCGCGCUCAGUGUUACCAGCGGAGGAAAUAAUCAGAAUCGCGCCUGCAACGCAAGAUGGUCAGGGCGAGAAGGUUUGCGGCCUUCAGGUACCUCUCCAAAAUAUAGUGCAUGCUGAUCGCGCAGAAGGGACAGGCGCAGCACUGCGCGUGCGCGGGUACGUGACUCACCAACAACCAUGGUGGCGGCGGUGGUGACACUGCCCCAUUUGCGGCCGAUGCGGUCAGCAAAGAAGCCCAGGAACUGAAAGCAUGGGCACACACCAAGAGGUGAGGGGUCAAUGCAUUGGAAAAGCGAACAGGGGACAGGGGGCAGUGGGAGACAAAACCGCCGUCCAUAAGCGCGCUAGACACGAGCUCACCAGCUGACCAAAGAUGAUGCCGCACACUUGCGUGUAGGUAAUUGAUUCAGAAAGCUUGACCGGGCAGCCAAUUCCCUUCCAGCAGUUCUUGUACUCGACCUUCCACAGCGCUGACAGGUUACCGACGGCGAACACGAAGUAGGCUUCGCAGAACUGCGAGGAGGGGGGCAGGGAGGUGGGUGGAGGCGGCCCCGACACAACUUAGUCAUUAAGUGUGUACACAAAGCAAUACUAAACACAUCAGACUGCUGAAACCUGUAAAAGCCUGGCUGGGUUCACCCGACCUGCACACAACAGCUCGUGUCUGAAUAAUCUGAUAAUCACAACUACGCACCAUGCCCAGACCAGGAAUCAUAAAGCUCGCCAGGAACAGGAAAAACCUGUGCAGACAGGAACACGAUAAGACGCUGUGUGCUUGGCGGCGUGAGAAAGCUCAUUUGUAACUGACCGCACGAUGGGAUUCCGGUGCUGGACCUCCUCGUUUUCAUCCUUGACAGCGCUUGCUAGCGAGUCCUCUGCGUGGUGCAGACUCUUCUCGUGUGCCUUUUCGGCGUCCAGGCCUGCCAUCGCGCGAAGAUAGACGAGACCUUUCAACGUUGAUGGUACUCUAAGCGGCAAGCAAGCUCGCGGGCAAAGCCGGGUUGUACAAAUAUAUAAACUUGUUAAGGGGAGGUCUUAUUAUAGUCGGAGGACACUACAUGCAGUCUUCACGAGAAUUGCCCAUUGGAAGAUUCCAUAGGCCGAAAACCGACGGCGGCGCCGCCGACGCGGGUCCCGGCUUGCCUCGCGUUACCAGUGAAUUGCUGAAGUUAUGUCCUUUAAGGCUUCAGGAGAAACACUCUCACACAUGGAAUGUGUCAACUCUCCAGUGUGUCACACUCAGCCGGCUUCUUUCUUGGUUCGCAGACGCGCACCCGUUCGCAAACCAGGAAACCAGCCAGGCCCGCGCUUCCCCUCCCCCAAACCCCCAAGCUGGCCACGCUCACCUACUCCAGGUCCCGGACCUUGUACAGUGAGCGCCCAUCCGCUGUCGCCCUGUAGCAACCGGGUUGCCCUGUAGUAAAGCGGAACUCGGCAUCAGUAGGGUAGCGCUUGAAGAACUCUGGUGUCAGCACCAGCAAGCCCGUGGCCGCCGGUGCCAGGGUGAGCUCGCACAUCAAAUACGCUGCACGCUACGGGACUACGCCAACCUGCCCCUUACCCUGUCCCAUCACACCCCACGCGCCCACGCCCGCCCGCCCAUCUCCAGCCCUCCGCCGGUGCUGCUCCUGCGCCUGCGAAGCUCAUGCGUGUGCAUCUAAGUUUGCUUAAGAAUUGCGCGGCACACUCAAGAUAGCCUGUCCGUCCUUGGUUUUGGUUCUGCUACAGCAAGUGUUUUCCGUAUGGCAAGUUGUGGAAGGGCCAACUAAAGCACUUCAGCCCAAUGCCUGCGUACAGGUGCGGUGCCAAGCUCUCUGCCUUUCGUUCCUCUAUCUGGCCAAGCGCAUUUCGCCAUGCCUUAAAGCGCGCGCUUCUUGCCUGAUACAGGCCGUAGCCUUAGCUGAUUGCAGAGAGCUCUUUGUCCCUCCCCAUCAAGCCAUGUGCGCACCUGCGGUCGCGCCAGGCCGCCGCACUCCAACUCCGUCGCCCGCGCCGCCGCAACCGCCACGGUUCAUGCUCGCCGCUGCCCAAAUGGGGUCGGCCCGCUGGCUGCUGCGCCCGCCGCCUCCGCCCAGGCUUAGCGCCGUGAACAGCGUGCCCCAAUCGGGCUGCUGCGCCUGCUGCUGUGCCUGUGGCAGCUGCUGCCCAGGCACCGCCGGCUGCUGCUCGGCCGCUGCUGCCCCGGUACCAGAACUACCAUCCUGCAACGAGUGAGCAGGUGUUCAAAUCAGUGACCAGGCUUGACCACCCAGGUGCUCAAACAAUGCGGUCCCGCGGCACCAGGCUUCACACCCGGUCAAACCGCUCGCCCCACCUGGCACGCCGCCGCCCCGUUAGCAGCAGUGGUGCUGCCGCCGGAGCUCCUCCGGUGGCCCUGUUGCAGCGGCUGCUGUGGCAGCUGCCCUGCCUGGCCGCCCUCCUCGUCCACGUCCACGACGCCGUCGGGAUCGGAUUACCCCGUAGAUGCUCACUUGACGUGGCCCCAAAGAGGCGACCUGGAGCGCCGGACAACAGCGACUUGAAUUUACCAAACGGAGAUACGUCAGGGAGAGAGACCAGAUCCAAGCCGUCGCGACGCGCAUCCGCUCUCCGUAUACCAUGUGGGAUUGUGAUGGCCUGGCUACUUUAGCCUCUAGGCGCGUGCCACACGGGCGCGCCCCUGCGCGCUACGCCCCUCGGGUCCUUCCGUGUGCCAGGUCCUUCCGUGCAUGUUAAGCCCUCCCGUGACAUGUCAUUGCCUCACCUUACAACACCAUUGGUACUGUGUCCAUGCCAUCGUCGCCGUGGACGGCCGUGCUGGCCCGCUGGUGACAAAGGAUGGCGAGGGGGGUUGCGACCCUACUCGUCAUCCAACGCCUGCUGCUCCAAGUUGUUAUUACGCGCUGCGUGGGCGCCAUUAGAUUUAAGGACUGGGCCAGACCUCCUGCGCUUUGAUCCACGUCCGAGAAAGGACAGCCUCAGCCUCAGCCCCUCGUCAGGCGCUAGGUAUAUGGAUACGAGUAGUUAGGCCAGCGCUUAACCUAUGCGUGAUAUGUAUACAAGGGUCAAACAAAAUUGCGGGCUUGGGUGCAGCUUUCCUGGCAGCUUUCAAUUGAUCUCGGCAAAUGUAUAAGUUGAGGCAAAUAAAGGUGUGCAAUAUUGCACGCGGACAUGUGCAAUCGCUCGCGAUUGAUGGCACGACUUCGCCAGCCAGCAGGUUCCCGGGUUUACCCUCGCCAAACGUUUGGCCAGCGCCACCACCAGCCACCAGCACCACCACUCAGCAUAUGGGAGACAAUACCCACCAUUCAUGCACAACGUGCGCGGCUGAGGUGCACAGCGCAUGGCUGCCGGGUGGCUGCCGCGCCUGCCAUCAGGGUCGUCGCGUCUGUGCCCUUGGAUGCGUUGCCAUCUGUACCCCUGUUUCUUUUGUCCACGCUUACCUGGGCGACAGCACGAGCGUGAGCAGUGCUCUGCAGCGGCACCAACUGCGGCACCACCGGCACCGUGCGUGCACAGCUAGAGGCGUCUGGAACACCCGGGAGCGGUGGGCAGUGGCGGUGCGCAUCUCUCCUGCACACCACGCCAGCCACCUGUUGCUUGUGCGGGGCAUGACGCCGAUAUGGCUGACAGCCCCCGCCUGCUCUCUUCUCUAAGGACACUGCCUGCGACGCCUGCGUGGGUGUGUGCUCGUACCGUAUUGUUGCUCCCUGUCCACACAUGGGCCUCGCAGCAAUCGGACAUGUGCUUAGGUGAAGUGGGAGCUGAUGGUGCGGCGCAGAAUAGCGUAGGGUAUCCGGCCCGCUGCCAUUUUCAUGGCGGCUUGUAAAGUCAGUGAUGGUCGGUUACACCUCUGACAGCCUCCGUCUAUGCCACGGCUCCACUGCUACGAGCCCAUAGCCUCACCGGCGGCGCACCAUGGGCUCUCCCAUGUACUGCUCCUCUCAUCCAAACUCAUCCUGCACAGUCCUGACCUAUAACGUUGAUUCAACGCCAUUAAGACGCUCGCUCGCUCAUCAUACCGUAGCCGCUCUCCUGCCUCUCCACCUCAGCAGGCCUGUGCACUGCGCGCGACCCGAAGCUCGCCACCUCUCCGCACUAGGCACGCCUGUCCACCACCACUACCGUACUCCUGCUGGGCGCGCUCAAGGACAUGCCGCGUUCAGCUGUGUGCAUACCAGCCGCGGCGAGUCAAUCAGCUAUGAUAUCGCGUGCACGCAUGGUGCACAAGCCACAAACGCACACGCUCUGGUAGGCAGAUCCGGUUCGACAGAACUGGUAACAAGGCCUGUGGACACGCCCAGAGGCACCUCCAGGUGCGGCUUAAUGAGCCACUAGGCCACUCGCUGAAUCCAUCAGGACUCUCGAUACGGUAGUCUACAAGGACAGAGCAUAUUGAGCACUUGAGCAGGUGCCGGACGCUCUCCCGCAAGACAACAAUGUGAUGGGGUUUCAGGGCAUGCCAAACCCGCCAGACACACAUGCACGACAUGCUGGACUGAUUGGGGCCCUACCACACUAGCCCAGGCAUAUGCGCGCGUAAUUGUGUCUUUUGGCCCCAGAAAGUAUCCCUACAACAUCCUAGGCAGCCUACGCCAUGAGUGGCUCACGGAGAAACUUGACAUCAAACGGUGCAAGGGCAAGAGCCCACGCACGGGUAUGCACGUUGGGUUUGCCUACACGCUGACCUACACGCCACCGAUGAAUGAACACCCUGCACUGCAACAGCUGCAAUCUCUACGGCUUCGCCGAGUUCAAUGCAACCUCCCACCGGAUACCACAAGAUCCAUUAGAGAUCCUGGGGUGACAUGGGGCUCGCUGGCAUUUUAUGCCGCGCUUUUGCCUCGCUGCUCCAAUCCAUAAUCACAUAGCUGUAGCCCCGAAACAAGCCGGCCGCACUACCAGUGCCGGUCCAUACGGGUCAGUUUGCCUAACAAGCUAUCACCAAUUCUACCAGCACCUACCAAGGAAAGGAGGCCCCAGAACAGGGUCGCCGUGCGUGUCACAUGCACGCGAUAGCCGCCAGGCGAAACUUUCCCCCAAGGUUCCAUCAAAUGCGGUCGUGCCAUGACCCUACCUAUGGUUGACCCAACAACAACACAUCCAAGUCAUUGCAAACAUAGCACAUCUAACUCAGUUUCGGCACGCCAAGGCAGCGUAACGAGCAGCCUAGCUGAAAAAGCUCAUGCGCCACGGCGCUCACAGUAGGCUUGCCCGCACGCCCACUCAACCACGCCCAAGCGCUCGACAAGGUGGCGCCGGCAGCAGCUCGCACGUCUCUACUUGGCAAUGGCGAUGGUUGCCGUGGGCUGCUGCUUGUGCGGCGGCACCAUCUCAGCGCCCUUCAUCGCCAUAGCUGCAGAGGCGCUGGUGGUGGUGGCGCUGUAGGCUCCAUCGUUCGAGGUGUCGGCCUGUUGGGGGCAAAACGGCGGGCGGGGCGUGGGGCGCGUGUUACCGUACUGGUCGGCCUCACAUUUAUGUUAGGCAUGUGAAGGGCUAUUUGCUGGGACAAGAUGGGGAGACGGCAUGCAUGCUCAUUCGGAAGCGUAAAGCAGCUAUGAUGCCGCUUCAAUUGCUUUCCAAUCUGUGGCUGAGACGGCUCGUGGCAUACCGAACGCUGGCUCACCUGAUAGUUCUUGCCGUAGCCCAGCAGGCGCUCAAUGAGAGACAGGUUGCGCGGCUUGAUGGCGUCACCGUGGUACAGGUGGUGGUGUCCGUCGAGGAUGGCCAGCCAGCGCUUGUCACCCUCGCGCAGGUCCAGGCCUGUGGGAAAGAAAGGAGGAGGAUGCGGUUGUGGGUAACGCACCGAGUGCCUGGCGCGAAGGAACAAUCAAGGGCAACAGACAUGCAAGCGCGAGACAUGCGCGGCCGACCUUGGAAACAACAACUCACCGGUCACAUCGGGGAUGGUGAUCAGGGUCAGGAUCACACCGGCCAGACCGCAGAAAGCGCUGAUCCAGAACUUGGUGCGGCCGUCCACAAGGCCGAACACAACACCCGCAACCAGCGCGCCGGCCUUGCCGACGGCAGCCGAGAAGCCGUGGCACAUGGAGCGGACCUCGGUUGGCGCCAGCUCGGCGGGCAGCAGCCAGGUGGUGGCGUUGGGGCCGAACUGGCCCCAGAAACUGGAGAAGUAGUACAGGAACUGGAAGGUGUGGAUGUACUUGGGAGUGCGCAGCUGAUCGUAGUGCACGGCGCAGAUGAGGAACAGAACAAACUGCAAGGGCAACGGACGACACGCGUGAAUGAUGCGCCCCCUUCAAUGGGACUCCCGCCACGCCCGACACAACACGCAGGGCGCUGAUAGUAUGAACAACGGCAAGCAGGUACACAAACAGUGCAAGUCAUUACAGGUACCGGUCUGCGGGCUGAAUUGCUGGUCUCUGCGUUGCCCUGAUCGCGCUGUUUCCAUGCACGACUCACCAUCCAUGCGAAGCCCAUGACCUGCAUGCGCAUGCGGCCCAUCCACGGCUUGUCCACCGUGAAAGCGGCAAAGUAGUAGCCAACCAGAGCCACAGAGCUGUUCAGCAGAG